rnacentral:rRNA from 1 species
AAUCAACGCUGGCGGCGUGCCUAACACAUGCAAGUCGAACGCGAAAGCCCCGCAAGGGGUAAGUAGAGUGGCAAACGGGUGAGUAACACGUGGGUGACCUGCCUUCGAGUGGGGGAUAACGUCCCGAAAGGGACGCUAAUACCGCAUGACAUCCUGCUUUUGAAAAAGCGGAGAUCAAAGCUGGGGAUCGCAAGACCUAGCGCUUGAAGAGGGGCCCGCGCCUGAUUAGCUAGUUGGUGAGGUAACGGCUCACCAAGGCGACGAUCAGUAUCCGGCCUGAGAGGGCGGACGGACACACUGGGACUGAGACACGGCCCAGACUCCUACGGGAGGCAGCAGUGGGGAAUUGUUCGCAAUGGGCGCAAGCCUGACGACGCAACGCCGCGUGGAGGACGAAGAUCUUCGGGUCGUAAACUCCUGUCGAGCGGGUCGAACGCUUCGCGGAUGAAUAAUCCGCGGAAUUGACGGUACCGCUAAAGGAAGCCCCGGCUAACUCCGUG